rnacentral:rRNA from 1 species
CCUACGGGAGGCAGCAGUGGGGAAUCUUGCGCAAUGGGCGAAAGCCUGACGCAGCAACGCCGCGUGCGGGAAGAAGGCUUUCGGGCUGUAAACCGCUUUCAGCAGGAACGAAAAUGACGGUACCUGCAGAAGAAGGAGCGGCCAACUAUGUGCCAGCAGCCGCGGUGAUACAUAGGCUUCAAGCGUUGUCCGGAUUUAUUGGGCGUAAAGAGUUCGUAGGCGGUCAAGUAAGUCGGGUGUGAAAAUUCUGGGCUCAACCCAGAGACGCCACCCGAUACUGCUUAACUUGAGUUCGAUAGGGGAGUGGGGAAUUCCUAGUGUAGCGGUGAAAUGCGCAGAUAUUAGGAGGAACACCGGUGGCGAAGGCGCCACUCUGGAUCGAUACUGACGCUGAGGAACGAAAGCAUGGGUAGCAAACAGGAUUAGAUACCCUGGUAGUCCAUGCCGUAAACGGUGGGCACUAGGUGUGGGUUUCUAUUAACGAAAUCCGCGCCGUCGCUAACGCAUUAAGUGCCCCGCCUGGGGAGUACGGUCGCAAGCUAAAACUCAAAGGAAUUGAACGGCUGAGACGUGCGAGCGACACGAGGAGAGG